rnacentral:rRNA from 1 species
GAUGAACGCUGGCGGCGUGCCUAAUAUAUGCAAGUCGAGCGAACGGACGAGAAGCUUGCUUCUCUGAUGUUAGCGGCGGACGGGUGAGUAACACGUGGAUAACCUACCUAUAAGACUGGGAUAACUUCGGGAAACCGUAGCUAAUACCGGAUAAUAUUUUGAACCGCAUGGUUCAAAAGUGAAAGACGGUCUUGCUGUCACUUAUAGAUGGAUCCGCGCUGCAUUAGCUAGUUGGUAAGGUAACGGCUUACCAAGGCAACGAUGCAUAGCCGACCUGAGAGGGUGAUCGGCCACACUGAAACUGAGACACGGUCCAGACUCCUACGGGAGGCAGCAGUAGGGAAUCUUCCGCAAUGGGCGAAAGCCUGACGGAGCAACGCCGCGUGAGUGAUGAAGGUCUUCGGAUCGUAAAACUCUGUUAUUAGGGAAGAACAUAUGUGUAAGUAACUGUGCACAUCUUGACGGUACCUAAUCAGAAAGCCACGGCUAACUACGUG